rnacentral:rRNA from 1 species
GACGAACGCUGGCGGCGUGCUUAACACAUGCAAGUCGAACGAUAAAAGAGUAGCUUGCUCCUCUUGCUUAGUGGCGAACGGGUGAGUAACACGUAAGCAAUCUGCCCCUGACUUCGGAAUAACUUCGGGAAACUGUAGCUAAUACCGUAUAUGCUCCGACCAGCCAUCUGUAUCGGUGGGACAGAAUUUCUGUCAGGGAUGAGUGCGCGGCCUAGCAGCUUGUUGGUGAGCUAACGGCUCACCAAGGAGACGAAGGGUAGCCGGCCUGAGAGGGUGACCGGCCACAUUGGGACUGAGAGACGGACCAGAGGCGUACGGGAGGCAGCAGGGGGGAAUAUUGCACAAUGAAAGCAAGUCUGAUGAAGAAACGCCGGGGGAGGGAUGACGGCCUUCGGGGUGUAAAACGCUGUUAGCAAGGAAGAAGCGAAAGUGACGGUACCUGAAGAAAAAGCGCCGGCUAACUACGUG